rnacentral:rRNA from 1 species
AACGAACGCUGGCGGCAGGCCUAACACAUGCAAGUCGAGCGCCCCGCAAGGGGAGCGGCAGACGGGUGAGUAACGCGUGGGAACGUACCCUUUGCUACGGAAUAGCUCCGGGAAACUGGAAUUAAUACCGUAUGUGCCCUACGGGGAAAGAUUUAUCGGCAAAGGAUCGGCCCGCGUUGGAUUAGCUAGUUGGUGGGGUAAUGGCCUACCAAGGCGACGAUCCAUAGCUGGUCUGAGAGGAUGAUCAGCCACAUUGGGACUGAGACACGGCCCACACGCCUACGGGGGGCAGCAGUGGUGAAUAUUGGACAAUGGGCGCAAGCCUGAUCCAGCCAUGCCGCGUGAGUGAUGAAGGCCUUAGGGUUGUAAAGCUCUUUCACCGGAGAAGAUAAUGACGGUAUCCGGAGAAGAAGCCCCGGCUAACUUCGUGCCAGCCGCCGCAGUAACAC